rnacentral:rRNA from 1 species
UCGGUGGGGGAUGUGCUCGCGGCCUAUCAGCUUGUUGGUGGGGUAAUGGCCUACCAAGGCUUCGACGGGUAGCCGGCCUGGGAGGGUGACCGGCCACACUGGGACUGAGACACGGCCCAGACUCCUACGGGAGGCAGCAGUGGGGAAUAUUGGACAAUGGGCGGAAGCCUGAUCCAGCAACGCCGCGUGAGGGAUGACGGCCUUCGGGUUGUAAACCUCUUUCAGUACCGACGAAGCGAAAGUGACGGUAGGUACAGAAGAAGCACCGGCCAACUACGUGCCAGCAGCCGCGGUAAUACGUAGGGUGCGAGCGUUGUCCGGAAUUAUUGGGCGUAAAGGGCUCGUAGGCGGUUUGUCGCGUCGGGAGUGAAAACACUGGGCUUAACUCAGUGCUUGCUUCCGAUACGGGCAGACUAGAGGCAUGCAGGGGAGAACGGAAUUCCUGGUGUAGCGGUGAAAUGCGCAGAUAUCAGGAGGAACACCGGUGGCGAAGGCGGUUCUCUGGGCAUGUCCU